rnacentral:lncRNA from 1 species
GCUGUGGAAGAAGACGACGACCAACGCGCGAGCACUGGCACGAGCGCGUUCGCGUGGUUACGCCGAGGGACGGCGACGGUCAACCCAGGAACGGGCCCCUCACAGUUGCCCUCCAACAAGUC